rnacentral:rRNA from 1 species
CUACGGGAGGCAGCAGUGAGGAAUAUUGCACAAUGGGGGCAACCCUGAUCCAGCAAUGCCGCGUGUGUGAAGAAGGCCUGCGGGUUGUAAAGCACUUUCAGUUGGGAGGAAGGCGUUUAGGCUAAUACCCUGAAUGUUUGACGUUACCUACAGAAGAAGCACCGGCUAACUCUGUGCCAGCAGCCGCGGUAAUACAGAGGGUGCAAGCGUUAAUCGGAUUUACUGGGCGUAAAGCGCGCGUAGGCGGUUUAUUAAGUUGGAUGUGAAAUCCCUGGGCUUAACCUGGGCAUUGCAUCCAAACUGGUAGGCUAGAGUUUGAGAGAGGGGUGUGGAAUUUCCAGUGUAGCGGUGAAAUGCGUAGAUAUUGGAAGGAACAUCAGUGGCGAAGGCGACACUCUGGCUCAAAACUGACGCUGAGGUGCGAAAGCGUGGGUAGCAAACAGGAUUAGAUACCCGUGUAGUC